CAGCAGCCGCGGGAAUACGUAGGUGGCAAGCGUUGUCCGGAAUUAUUGGGCGUAAAGGGCUCGCAGGCGGUUUCUUGAGUCUGAUGUGAAAGCCCCCGGCUCAACCGGGGAGGGUCAUUGGAAACUGGGAAACUUGAGUGCAGAAGAGGAGAGUGGAAUUCCACGUGUAGCGGUGAAAUGCGUAGAGAUGUGGAGGAACACCAGUGGCGAAGGCGACUCUCUGGUCUGUAACUGACGCCGAGGAGCGAAAGCGUGGGGAGCGAACAGGAUUAGAUACCCCAGUAGUCCCUGUCUCUUAUAC
rnacentral:rRNA from 1 species